rnacentral:rRNA from 1 species
UACGUAGGGGGCAAGCGUUGUCCGGAUUUAUUGGGCGUAAAGAGCGUGUAGGCGGCCAUACAGGUCAGCUGUGAAAACUCGAGGCUCAACCUCGAGACGUCGGUUGAAACCGUUAGUGCAGAGUCCGGAAGAGGAGAGUGGAAUUCCCGGUGUAGCGGUGAAAUGCGCAGAUAUCGGGAAGAACACCCGUGGCGAAGGCG